CACAGUUUAACAUGAUGGAUUGUAGGACAGCUCUGCUGCUGUUAACUCUCUGCUGGACAGGUGUUGAUGGUCAGACUCUGACAGAAUCUGGAUCAGCAGUUAAAAGACCUGGAGAAUCCCACAAACUGACCUGUACAACCUCUGGAUUCACAUUCAGCAGCUAUUAUAUGGCCUGGAUCAGACAGGCUCCUGGUAAAGGACUGGAGUGGAUCACUUACAUUAGCAGCAGUGGUAGCAGCAAAUAUUACUCUCAGUCAGUUCAAGGCAGGUUCACCAUCUCCAGAGACAACAACGUACAGCAGCUGUAUCUGCAGAUGAACAGUUUGAAGACUGAAGAUUCUGCUGUUUAUUAUUGUGCUCGAGACACACAGUGACUGAAGUUGUGUUAGCAGCUGCACA